CAGUGUUUAAUAGGUGUUCAAAUAUGGUAUUCAAAUAGGGAAAAAAACAAAAACGAAACUAGAUUUUCAAGGUUUUUAUGAAAUGAGAAACUCUGAAUG